GUGCUCGCUUCGGUAGCACAUAUACUAAAAUUGGAACGAUGCAGAGAAGAUUAGCAUGGCCCCUGUGCAAGGAAAAAAAUUUAAAAAAAAAUAAAAUCACUAUGUAG